UACUAGACUAACUUAGCACUAAUUAAGACCUAUUAUAGUCUUCCCUAAUAAUAAACCAGCGAUUGCCCCUGGUCGUGCGUCAUCGGGCAUUUUGCAAAAAAGUCCCUCAAUUUGUCAGAAUUUAACCCGUAGUCCUAUCUUAAGUGGAUAUAUGAGAAAACGUUUCGAUUUUGCACAAAACACCCUGGCAUUUGGAGUAUUCAACACGCGGUCCGAGCAGCUUUGUAAAGAAAAAAAAGACAACCACACACGCACGGGCUCGCCUCCUCUCCCUCUUGCCGACGAAGUCACCGCCGCCGCAGCCCACGCCGGCCGCUUCCGGCGAGCUCCGGCGCCGCACAGCACGGCCCCGAGCUCCCCAUGCUCCGCGCCUCCCUCCCCUCCGGCCAGAUUCUCAUCUCCUGGCCUCUACCGCCCGCUCGCAACCACACCCCCGUGGCUAAGGUUCCGGGCAGUGCUUCGCCGGCGCGUCUCCGGCGGCCCCAGGUCCCUCAAAGAGAAGCAUUUUUCAUAUGCUCCUGAAUCUGGUGUGCGGUAUGAUGGAGUUUACAGUUUGAGAACUGUUGGAGGAAGACUGGUAUUCAGGUAAUUUUACUUUACUAAAUGUACAGAGGUUCCACAUGCUGCUCUCUACUUUGUUCCUGUACAAGGCCAGAGCUACUAUAAGCAUGUUGUCCUUUGGUUUCAGUUCCUGUAAUGUCCGUAAGGUUAGUUUUAAAGAGAUGUAUGAUUCUAUUCAGUUCUAAUUUUAGAAGAACAAACAAUUGUUAAAGAAUGCCCAUUACUACUGGUUCUGAUAUGUAGAGGGAUGGCAUUUGUUCAUUUGAUUGCUAAAGCCAACAUCUAAAUAGUGAAGGACGUAACUGAUAAAUCAUCACAACAAUUCCCGGCGCAGCAAAGCGCGCAUGUUCAUCUAGAUCCAAGCAGCUCUUUUCAGAUCAAUUAAGGAAUCAAUCUCAUGAUGGUUUAUGCUUGAUGCAGCGGAGGGUCACAGAUUCACAGGUGUAAGGAUCGGUACAAUUGGGCCUCGCAUUAUUUUUUUCCAGAAUUGGGUGUGCGUACUCUCUAAACUGAAUUGAGUGAGCUAAAUCUAUGCAUCUAAAUUGUAGUCUGUAGCUUUAUGUGUUACGUCUUAAGGUUCAAAUUGAAGAUUGCCUUUGGGAGUAGUUUUAGUUGGUAGAAGUUUCAUUCUACAAAUACGCACACAUUAUGUGCUUAAUGUGUGGCAUAAACAUGAUCAGUUUUAUGUUUAGAAACCAAAUCACUGUCCACCCAUUUUAUUUCUUCAUGACUAUUUUGUGUUGAAAUCAGAUCACCAUUCACCUGUUCUGUGUAUUGUUGUCUUUAAUUUUUUUUGCCUAUUCUCAAUAAAAUGCUCAGUUUCAGGAUGUGAUUUUCAGUUUUAGGCAUUUGGUACUUUCGGCAUCGAGAAAAAAAUUGUUCCUCUGAGCGUGUACCUUCAAAUGCAAAGUUCUGACUAUGAUUUCGCGUGCAACCACAGCGCCGUUGGCCGCUCUGCCUACCGAGUGCCACCCCGCCGCCUCCUCCCACCCCCCACCUGGGACCUCACCGCCCGCUCCCCGCCCGGUACACCCACAAUGCUUGAGUCUGAGCAGACGCCAUUGGCCCGUGGGCACAGAAGCAGAGUCCAGGAUGGUGAUGGUGCCAAGGAGGACUCUCGAACGUCGAUUGAUUGCAUCGUUGCUGCCGUACCCAUGGAGUGGCGCGGCUCCAACCACUCUGAGAUGAGGAAUCAGUACAACAACAGAACUUGAAGCUGACAAGGAUAGAUGAUGGUUGGUUUUGGUGGAGAGAUCAGGUGCAUAUGAACAACCUAUUAUCUUCCAUUUUUUGUUUUUCAUCAUUCAACGGGACAAUUUCCUAAUUCUUUUUUAGUACUGUCUGGAAAGGUUAUUAGUACAUAUAGGUUUUGUCAAAAUUUAUUAGCACAUAUGAGGUUUUUUGUUUGGAUCCCCUUUGGCUCUACAUAAUUCUUUGGAGUGGGAUUCUAGAUAGAUGCUUUUAUUAAUUUUCUCUCAUUGCAACGUACGGGUAUGUUUACUGUAAUAAUAAAGUCAGAAGGAGAAGGGCGAGGUCCAGAUGGAGCUCUGCCAGUUCCGCCGCUUUCAUA